UACGAGGGGGGCAAGCGUUGUUCGGAAUUAUUGGGCGUAAAGCGCGCGCAGGCGGUCCUUUAAGUCUGAUGUGAAAGCCCACGGCUCAACCGUGGAGGGUCAUUGGAAACUGGGGGACUUGAGUGCAGAAGAGGAAAGCGGAAUUCCACGUGUAGCGGUGAAAUGCGUAGAUAUCGGGAGGAACACCAGUGGCGAAGGCGGCCUUCUGGACCAGUACUGACGCUCAUGCACGAAAGCGUGGGGAGCAAACAGG
rnacentral:rRNA from 1 species